rnacentral:rRNA from 1 species
UACGUAGGGUGCGAGCGUUAAUCGGAAUUACUGGGCGUAAAGUGGGCGCAGGCGGCGUUGCAAGUCGAGUGGGAAAUCCCCGAGCUUAACUUGGGAAUUGCGCUCGAAACUACGAUGCUCGAGUGUGGCAGAGGAAGGUGGAAUUCCACGUGUAGCGGUGAAAUGCGUAGAGAUGUGGAGGAACACCGAUGGCGAAGGCAGCCUUCUGGGCCAACACUGACGCUCAUGCACGAAAGCGUGGGGAGCAAAAGGG